CGACGGGGGGCAGGCUUACACAUGCAGUCGAGCGGAACGAUACCAGCUUGCUGGUAGGCGUCGAGCGGCGGACGGGUGAGUAAUACUUAGGAAUCUACCUAGUAGUGGGGGAUAGCUCGGGGAAACUCGAAUUAAUACCGCAUACGACCUACGGGAGAAAGGGGGCAGUUUACUGCUCUCGCUAUUAGAUGAGCCUAAGUCGGAUUAGCUAGAUGGUGGGGUAAAGGCCUACCAUGGCGACGAUCUGUAGCUGGUCUGAGAGGAUGAUCAGCCACACCGGGACUGAGACACGGCCCGGACUCCUACGGGAGGCAGCAGUGGGGAAUAUUGGACAAUGGGGGAAACCCUGAUCCAGCCAUGCCGCGUGUGUGAAGAAGGCCUUUUGGUUGUAAAGCACUUUAAGCAGUGAAGAAGACUCCUCGGUUAAUACCCGUGGACGAUGACAUUAACUGCAGAAUAAGCACCGGCUAACUCUGUGCCAGCAGCCGCGGUAAUACAGAGGGUGCAAGCGUUAAUCGGAAUUACUGGGCGUAAAGCGAGCGUAGGUGGCUUGGUAAGUCAGAUGUGAAAUCCCCGGGCUUAACCUGGGAACUGCAUCUGAAACUGUUAGGCUAGAGUAGGUGAGAGGAAGGUAGAAUUCCAGGUGUAGCGGUGAAAUGCGUAGAGAUCUGGAGGAAUACCGAUGGCGAAGGCAGCCUUCUGGCAUCAUACUGACACUGAGGCUCGAAAGCGUGGGUAGCAAACAGGAUUAGAUACCCUGAUAGUCCACGCCGUAAACGAUGUCUACUAGUCGUUGGGUCCCUUGAGGACUUAGUGACGCAGCUAACGCAAUAAGUAGACCGCCUGGGGAGUACGGCCGCAAGGUUAAAACUCAAUGAAUUGACGGGGGCCCGCACAAGCGGUGGAGCAUGUGGUUUAUUUCGAUGCACGCGAGACCUUACCUGGUCUUGACAUAUCUAGAUCCUGCAGAGAUGCGGGAGUGCCUUCGGGAUUAGAAUACAGUGCUGCAUGGCUGUCGUCAGCUC
rnacentral:rRNA from 1 species